CAGACCCUUUGACCUCCUAGUACAGACUCACAUGGGACACUAUAAUGAGAUCCAGGCAUCUGAUAUUUGACUGGAUCCUUCAGAGCUCUAAAGCACAGGCAGCUCUCAUACACUCUUCCAUACCUGACUUUGUGGACGGCCACGGCAGGCGCUGUGCCACUGAGCUAAAUCCCCAGCCCCUAGAAAAAAUUUUUCAACAUCCAUGUGGGACAACCUGAAGCCCAACAAAUUGAAGAAAAAAAUAACAGCAUCAAAAAAUAAAAUAAAUACAUAAAAAUGAGUACAUAUAAUUAUAAAAAUAGGAUAAAUAUUCAACUACAUUAUUGUCCCUUGGAUAAGGUCAGAGAGAAAAAAAUCUCUGGAGAACAUGAAACAUCCCCCAAGUAGCAUUAUUAGUAACAGGAAGUAGAGAUCUUAUUCUACAAAGUGCCAGCUGAGGAAUGGAAUCCAGCUGUUAGCUGGAGAAAUUACUACGAGCAAGAGGGCUUGGAAGAUGGAAGGGGCUUGAGCUUGACUGAUGUGAACCCUGUGUCCGUCAGCUUCUCCAGUAAUUUCUAAUGGUUGCCAUUCUAUCCUCUUACUUGGCACAGAAGUCUUGAUUCUGAUAAAAAAGCAUCACAAGACAGUUGACGCAAAGUCAUGAAGACUUUGAAUUCAAACUCCUGUAUUCUGAAGAAGACACACUUUGUUUUCCUAACUGUGCUCAUCAUUGGAGAAUAUUUUCUGUUGCUUAAAAACAGUUGAUCAGAAAGCUGCCUCUAUAGUGUCUCGAGCAGGAAAAUACUCGGUUGCAUAUGGCCAUUACCACCCUGAUGACUGUUGUUAUUUACCUUUCUGACGUACUUCUUGUCAGUCUCCCGUUUGAAGCACAUCUCUGAAAUGGAUAGAUGGAGCCCCCAGCCAUUCAAAUUCUGGCCUCAGGUAUGGUCUUUGCUCUGAAGCACAGCACUGGGGCCGGAGCUGCCAUUCUUUAUCUCUCAUGUGUUCAGAGAAUCUUUCUAUUUCCUGAAGUGUGGGGGUGGAUUGCAGGCAGCCAGAUUUUGGCAGAAUCUUUCUGUAAUUUUACGUUGCUUUGCUUAAACAGGGUUUGCUUUGUUGACACACAUUAGCCAUAUGGGAUCGGUUUGGAUGGUGCUGUUGACAGUCGUGUUUACUUUGCUGUUUGUGUAUGCCCCCUUCAGUCUAAAACAGAGCUGGGAGAUUCUGACUGCACGGCAAUAAGCAUAAUUUUCUUUCUUCUUUUUUCCACUUACUUCUUCAUAUACAGCUUGCUUCUAUUUUGCAGAUGCAGGGAAAUCGCUGAGGUGUGUAUCAGAACUGAUGCUGGGAAGUAUGCUUCAGAAUCUUCUAUUUUAAGAAAAACUUUAAGUUUCCACUGGUAUAACUGUGAAAAAACCCCAAAAGACAAAAAAACCAAGUGUGAAAAAUAAGCUAAUAAAAUGAGUCAAAGGGAAAAAGUUUUAAAGUUUGAAAAAGGAACGAUUACAAGUGUAUAGACAGGGGAAUGAUAUGACUGUUCUUAAUGACACUGGGAGUAAGUCAGACUAAGAACCCUAUUAAAUAAAAGAAAUAAAAGACACAGCACUACUACACAUUUAAGCAUAUUGCAAAUACUAUAAAUAUUUUUUCUGGCUAAGAAGAGGAAAUUAUAAUCAAAUUUUGGAAAGGAAGGUUAGAUGGUUUACAAUCUAUAAAUAACUCUGCAUGAUAUAUUAAAUUUUGUAGAUCAUAUCUUCCAAAUAAGGCAUUUGCAGGAAAUGGACUAGAUUCUCAGGAAAUAAGUCCGAAAAAAAAAAAAAAAAAAAACAGUCCAGGGUUUUAUAUUCUAGAGUUUCAUGUCAUGAUUUUCAGCACAGAUGUGGGGUAAGGGAUAUUUAUUUUUGUAUGUAAAAAUAAAUUUAUGGUAUUAUUCCAUUAAAAUAAAAUACUAAAACAGAUGAUAAUUACUCUCACUUAUUAAAAUCAGAUUAUUUUUGGUCACUUGCAGCAGGGAUGGGGAGAUUAACCAAAAAGGAACCAUAGGCCAGCACGUUUGCUGGAGUGAUAGAAACCUCUAUCCUGCCCACCAAAUUUUCAUUGCCAAUGUACAGAUUUUUCUACCAGGUAGUAAUUAUGCUCAGGAUGUAUUCUGCCUUCAGUAUUAAGUUCUUAAGUUACAUUUUAAGUUCUAAAUUGGUACAAUGAGGGAAGAAGGGAUCCUCAGUCUAGCCAUGUAGUUCUUAAUCUUUUUGAGUAGGAAGGCUUUUUAACAUCUGAGUUUCUUGAAUACACACUCAAAUGUAGAUAGGAAUCUGUGUUACGAGUUUAGGCUAGGCCCAUUACUCUGGUAGUAUAAAUCAGGCCUAAUUGGUCUGGAGAGAGAAGCUCUUGGGAAGUUUCUUGAAUAUCUGUCAAGAAAACUUACGUCUUGAGUGGAUGGUAGUUAAACAAAUGUGUACAUGUGUUAAAAUUCAUUAAUGGUACCUUUAAAAUAAAUGUACAUUUUAUUGUAAAUUAAUUAUACUUCUAUAAAGUGGACAGAACAAUUUAAGUUUAUAAGACAUAGGGGAGAUCAUACAUAUUAAGAAAACUACUAAGUUAGGGACAAUUAUGCCAUAUAUAAAAUAUGAACAGAUGCUUAACUUUUUGAACAUUAGAACACAUGGUCCUAUCAAAAUACAGUGCAGAGUUGUGGACUAAAACUGAGCAGCAUUUAACCAAGAAUUGCAUGUUUAUUUCUUUCAGCUAUCAUUCAUUUAAUUGACUGCUAUAGCUAAGUCAGAAUGUUCAGAGUCCAGAUUCCCAGGGAAUUUCCAAGGGUUUCUCUACAGGUUUUCACCACAAAAUGGCACAAUACUUGGGCAAAAAGAAAGAAAAAACUAUCAUAUUCAUUUUAAUGAGAUUAAACAUCCAAAUACUCUUGACUUCAUAUUUUAGUUUUCUCAGUAAAAUACAUAUCUUAGUAUACAGUUAUAACUAGGUGAAUGUUAUAGUCUUUUUCUGCUAUUCCAUUGCAGCCUAUUUCUCCUUGUUAACGGCAUUGCGCAGAAUCAAGUUAAAGCAAGCACAGUUGUGAUCCUGGGGUAGUGUCGAUGAGCUGCCUCCACUAAAACAGAUAUAACCAUUGAGAUUAUACCUCCCAGAGAAACUUUCCCGUAGAAUUGAAGUGGUAGUGUGACAGGCCCCAGGAUUUGGGCUAAGCAGAAGUUCACUGGAAGUGAGCUACUGUGUCUAAUAAAGCACCUUGCACAUAAUAGGUAGGAAAACAGUUUGAAAAUUUAAUGGAUAUCCACCAACUUCAACAGCCAGUUUAACUUCCUGUUU